rnacentral:rRNA from 1 species
AGUGAACGCUGGCGGUAGGCCUAACACAUGCAAGUCGAACGGUAGCACAGGAGAGCUUGCUCUCUGGGUGGCGAGUGGCGGACGGGUGAGGAAUACAUCGGAAUCUACUCUGUCGUGGGGGAUAACGUAGGGAAACUUACGCUAAUACCGCAUACGACCUACGGGUGAAAGCAGGGGAUCUUCGGACCUUGCGCGAUUGAACGAGCCGAUGUCGGAUUAGCUAGUUGGCGGGGUAAAGGGCCACCAAGGCGACGAUCCGUAGCGGGUCUGAGAGGAUGAUCAGCCACACUGGAACUGAGACACGGGCCAGACUCCUACGGGAGGCAGCAGUGGGGAAUAUUGGACAAUGGGCGCAAGCCUGAUCCAGCCAUACCGCGUGGGUGAAGAAGGCCUUCGGGUUUUAAAGCCCUUUUGUUGGGAAAGAAAUCCAGCUGGCUAAUACCCGGUUGGGAUGACGGUACCCAAAGAAUAAGCACCGGCUAACUUCGUGCCAGCCGCCGCAGUAA